UCCUGGAAGGAGAGCAUAGUAAGUAGACAGUAUAAGAGGGCCUAUUUCUAAGCAAGCAACAAAGGGCUGAAGGUGGGAGAACCAAUGAGAUGUUCUCAUGCAAAGCAGCACACACUUUGGGGGGGGGGGAGAAAAUGCAGGGGUUAUACAACUUUCCUAGCCAAAAAAUAAAAAAAAUUGAGAAGUCAAUGGAGAGCGCACAGGAAAGUACUGGUCAAUAUUGGUUUAAGUUCUUCAUACCUCUCUACAGAAGCCACAAGAGUAAGCCAGAGAAUAGACCAAGCCCGACAGCUGCAAAUAGUUCAUUAGAAAGAUGUAAGAUGGACAAGAGAAAGCAUAGCUCUAAAAUAGACCAAUAGCUUUGGACUUAGAAAGGUUGAGAACUUAGCUACUUUUUCUGUUUAUACUAAAUUUAGUAUAAAGUUACUGCAAAGCUGUAUUCCAUACAUGCUGUUAAACUUCAUGUGUGAAAGGUAAAAUAAAGAUGGAAAGUUGCUGUAACCUAUACUUUCCACUAACUCUACAGAUGCAAUCUUCCUAAACUAGCUUUUCAGAUUAGUCUGACUGAAUCCCUAGUGAUGUAGGAUUCACUUUUUCUCCCCUCCCUCCCAUAAAGAGACUGUCAACACCAGCUUGUGGAGUGUUGCAGGAGUACUCCUGGCAUGCCAAGUUCUUUUAGUCAUGCUUAUAAUUAUCUGCAGCCUCAGUCUGAGAUGCAUGAAUAUUAGUGCAGUUAGGUUACUUUUACAGAGUAGCUUCUGAACUGCAAGGCUGAUCACACCCAUAUAUAAUAUUGUGAUGGUGGCCAUCAUUGUGCACAUGCUCAUCCAGGGAGAGAUCUUAACCAUUGGAUGAGAACAAGCAAUCUCGUACAAUAUUCAGAAUUCAGUUUUGUGAUAAGGGGGAACCUCUAACAUAGGAGGACCCUGCUCAAUCCUAGUUUUAAUUUUAGGCCAAUCAGCAUUAACAUUUUGCUCAUCAGUAUUUAGGGAGCAUAAGAUGGGUGUUUGCUCUGUCCAGCAAAGGGUGGGUUACAAGAUAGUUCUGUAUGGUCAAUUCCACUGAAUGGAAUCAUUUCCAGAAUAUCCGGAAUAAGUCUUGAUAUUCAUUAAAAAUUCAGUAUUUUGUUACAAGACAAAAAUCUUUAAAGAGAUAACUGGGUUAAUAUUUCUGCAGUAUUAGCAGAACUUCAAUACUAGAAGUAAACUGAGAAAGUUUAGUCUCACAGGUUCAAGCACUUUCCAACUUGGGAUGUGUUGACUUUGAAAAAUUAGACAAUAUUUAGUUCAGCAUAUUUAGGAACACCUGUUGUAGAACUAUUCAAAUUUAAUCUGGUGAGCUUUAAAAUGGUUAACAGCCAGGUAAUUCCUAUUAGUUAGUACAAAUGUUAAGUUGCUACAAAUUACUUAAGGACUUCAGGAUCCUGACUCCUUGUUUUGUCAUACCUAAACAAAAAGGUUGCAUCAUCUGUGGGAACUGACCCCACAAAAUAAUUAGUUUUUACUGCUUGAGCUAGAAGACCAAGUCUAUUUGCUUGAAGUCAGUAAGAGUCAGGCCUCUGUAUGUAGUGGGGGGGGGGGGGGGGGAUUUACCCCAAUUUGAUUCUACACAAUUGUUAGCAGCCACUUCUUCAGUAAUUCUUUGCAGUUCAGUAGUUAUUUAGAAAGGGAGGUGGGUAAACAGUUACACCAGCGACCAGACUAACCCAGUUAUUUCCUCUGUUCUACUUUAUUUCAAGUCUUAAAGAGUUGAAGAAAGCUAUGCUUCAAGUCAAUGGAUUCUCCCUGAAGCCUUCAGUAAUUUGAAGUCUGGGAUGAGGGAAAGUAUAGAACAUCCGCGUUUAGAAUGUUUCAAUGCAGCUUGAGCUGUUUGACAAGCCCCGAUCAAGACGCCGAACAGGACUUUGACUUCCUGGAGAUGCAGACCCUGGAUUCCACUUCAAGGCACAGGCGUCAGAUCCACACCUGACCUUCCCCCAAAGUUCAGGGACAUGUGGGGCCAGGCCCAUCGGUUCUGUAAAUUACGCUCCCAGGAAGCUGAGCCGAGUUGUGCGCACACGGGGUACGGCUCGCCCCAGCUCCUAGACCUCCUCCCGGGGGUGACGGGGCAGUAGCGCUGCGGGGUUGCUUCAGGGUCCUCCCCCGCAGGAGCCGCGCCGGGCGCCCGGCUUGCCCAGCGGGGGAGAGGCGCCCACUGGCCGGGGGGAGCACUGGGGCAGGCGGGCAGCACAGCUAGCCUAAAAAUAGGAGCCGCCCUGAGCGAGCGCGCGCGCCGGGGUCCCCGCAGCGGGGGCCGGGCCAGGCCAGGCCGAGCUCCGCUUCCUUCACUUCCUGCUCCGCGAGCCUCCGGCGGCAGCUCCCGGGCCAGGGACAGGGCGGGCAGGAGCCACCCCUGAGAGCCCUCCCGCAGCUCUGUCAGCGCCGGGCGCACUUACCAGCCAUGGUGCCGCCGCCGCUGCUAGCCCCUCCGCCAGGGACGGAUGCUGCGGCCGCCGCUACUCACGAGCCGCAACCGGAGCCGCCCUUUAUAUCUGGGCGGGCGGGCGGGCGGAGCCACGUGGGGCACGUACGCUGCCCGCCGCCAGGCCGCCUUUCGCUAGCGCCGGCCUGGAGGCUCCCAGCACGGGGCGAGGAGCCGCCGAGGGUCGCCCCCGGGCGCGGUGCCAGCUGGAUUAUUCCCCCGUGCCAGGCCUGCCUGAGAACAGCCUUUCCUCGGCCUAAUUCCUUCCUUCCUUCCAUUCCCUGUAUCUGCUUUGCACGCACCCACCACCCCGGUCUAGGUACCGUGUGCUAAGAGGCCAGUUCCUCCAUUCCUUUCCCAGGUGCUUUGUGCCGCCGCCAAGCUGCCCUGACUGCCUCGCUGGGGAGUCACCUGGCGCUAGGGAAUUCUCCGACAUGAAGAUUGUUCCGCCACGUUCAUUGCUGGGGUCUCUGAAAGGGUCCCCGCCUGCUUCGCUGAAGGGGGGGUUGGUGGUGGUGGUGAAUGUGGCAGUGCCUCCUCUUCCUUUCCCACUGCUAGGAAGAGUUUUGUAGCCUUCCUAGGAGUUGCAGGGUUUGUGUGGGGUGCAAGACUCCUCCCGAGAACGUGACCCCAAGCCGCUUCUAUUCUUUGCUUGUGCUUUUGGCCAGCCACAGGUUAUGUUCUGAUAAGUGACCCCGUGAAAAUGACACACGAGUUUUUUGUAUUGUUCUUUCUCAACAACUUCCAGGUCCAAUUUGUUCACCUUACAAAUAAAAAUAUAUGUUUUCUACCUCCUAGUGCUGCAAUCUUCACCUGGGAUCUGAGAGUCAGGCUGGAUUUUGCCUGUUGCUUGCAUCACUGCUGCUAAUAAAUAUUGGGCAAUCACAACGCCACCUUAAAGGAUUCUGUUGAUAAUGCAUAUGAGAGAGAGAGAGAGAAUCCAGCUGCCUGUUCCAAAGCUGUGUUGGCUCUGCAGGGAUAACACAAAUAAAAUCUUAUUUGAUUCAGUAAGAUCUCCCUUAGACUCAUCCAAACUUGAAACCCUAUCAGAGUUGUUAUAGUGCAUUGAUUUAAGUUUUCUGUACACACUAAGCUUUUAAGUAAUAAAUGUUCAAACUAUUUAUUUGGUCUUUCUAUGUUCACAACUAUUCACUUCAGUCCAACACAGCCUAUUUUCUAUGGGCAAGAUUCUUAUUUGCACCCAUGUAAAAUGUGUAGUCGUUCCAGUGAUAUCACUGGAGUUUUACACUGAUAUAA